rnacentral:rRNA from 1 species
CCUACGGGAGGCAGCAGUGGGGAAUAUUGGACAAUGGGCGAAAGCCUGAUCCAGCAAUGCCGCGUGAGUGAUGAAGGCCUUCGGGUCGUAAAGCUCUUUUACCAGGGAUGAUAAUGACAGUACCUGGAGAAUAAGCUCCGGCUAACUCCGUGCCAGCAGCCGCGGUAAUACGGAGGGAGCUAGCGUUGUUCGGAAUUACUGGGCGUAAAGAGUACGUAGGCGGUUAUUCAAGUCAGUGGUGAAAGCCCGGGGCUCAACCCCGGAACUGCCUUUGAAACUAGAUAACUAGAGUCUUGGAGAGGUUAGUGGAAUUCCGAGUGUAGAGGUGAAAUUCGUAGAUAUUCGGAAGAACACCAGUGGCGAAGGCGACUAACUGGACAAGUACUGACGCUGAGGUACGAAAGCGUGGGGAGCAAACAGGAUUAGAUACCCUGGUAGUCCACGCCGUAAACGAUGAUAACUAGUUGUUCGGUCACUUGGUGACUGAGUGACGCAGCUAACGCAUUAAGUUAUCCGCCUGGGGAGUACGGUCGCAAGAUUAAAACUCAAAGGAAUUGACGG